UGGCUGUAGCUAAAUGAAUUCAAUUUGAGUGGUUUACUGGCCGGUUGUCGUUCUGCUGUCGAUUUAUCUGCUUACCGAACUUCUUACAUUU
rfam:Solanum lycopersicum cultivar Heinz 1706 chromosome 4, whole genome shotgun sequence.